UUUACAGAACCAACUUUUUAUUUUAUUACAACAAAAAUAUUUUCAGAAGCUUGUUUUUUUUUUCUCAAAUAAUUCUGGGUUUAUUUCUCAUCAUCGCUAAAACAAAGAGUCUGAAGAUUUUAAUGUCAAGUUCAUUUUCAAACAAGUACUAUUUCUUCUAUUUCAAACAUUUCUUAAACUAGUUCACUUUUUCAUUUUGACCAAAACCGGUU